UUUGAUCCUGGCUCAGAACGAACGCUGGCGGCAGGCUUAACACAUGCAAGUCGAGCGCCCCGCAAGGGGAGCGGCAGACGGGUGAGUAACGCGUGGGAAUCUACCCUUGACUACGGAAUAACGCAGGGAAACUUGUGCUAAUACCGUAUGUGUCCUUCGGGAGAAAGAUUUAUCGGUCAAGGAUGAGCCCGCGUUGGAUUAGCUAGUUGGUGGGGUAAAGGCCUACCAAGGCGACGAUCCAUAGCUGGUCUGAGAGGAUGAUCAGCCACAUUGGGACUGAGACACGGCCCAAACUCCUACGGGAKKCAKCAGUGGGGAAUAUUGGACAAUGGGCGCAAGCCUGAUCCAGCCAUGCCGCGUGAGUGAUGAAGGCCCUAGGGUUGUAAAGCUCUUUCACCGGAGAAGAUAAU
rnacentral:rRNA from 1 species